AGCCCUCAUGUUUUGUUGUCUGUUGUCUUGCUUUGUUUUGUCUUCCACUGUCGACCUGCAAUCCAUUUCUGAGAACCGAGGCUUUAAGCAGUCGAGGUUGUGUGGAGGGUAAAGCCAAGGUUUUCUUUCCGCUUUUAUUGGAUGGCAGAUCCAAUUAAUCCCCGGGGAGAUGGUACGAAAGAAGCUUCAGCCGACAGAAAGAUGAAGCUUGUUUUACCUCCGAUCACGGCAAACUGAAACAUUUGUCUCCUGAGCACUCGUCCUCUUCUCUGGUGUGAAACCGCCUCUCUCGUGUUCUUCUGCAGAGCCGGUUUCAUCCCGGGUGACAGAAUCCGCUUCGACAGACGAAGGCUUUUAAACACUGCUGAAAAAUGACUCCGCACGGCAGGUGUUUGCUGUUUGUUUUCAAUUCCCAUUAGUCUCUUCAGGUAAGAGUCCUUCCUCCAGACGGCGUGGAGAGACUGCUGUAGAUGCUCAAGACUUCUGCAUAUGAUGUGCAACUCAAACUGGAGAGAAGGGUGAUUUCAACAUAAAUACAAAGCAGUUUAGUGCUUUCCUCAAAAUCAUAGCCACUUUAUUUAGAAUUGGAUAAAUUAUUUUUAUUUUAUUUUAUUUAUUUAUUUUUUUUUUUGGGGGGGGGGUUGCCUCUUAAUGACAAAGUACAGUCAAAGACGGUUGCAUACCACUAAGAAGCAAUACACCCAGAAAGAGUUUUAUUUUUUAUUUAUUUUAUAACAAUACACCAUUACUUGUAAAUUGUUGUCAGUGAAGUUAUUUUUGCCCUCAGAAUUGUGUAGCAUGUUGCUUAUUGUUAUUGAAAAAAUAUUUUAUUUGAUUUAGA